rnacentral:rRNA from 1 species
AUUGAACGCUGGCGGCAGGCCUAACACAUGCAAGUCGAGCGGAUGAGGAAAGCUUGCUUUUCGAUUCAGCGGCGGACGGGUGAGUAAUGCCUAGGAAUCUGCCUGUUAGUGGGGGAUAACUCGGGGAAACUCGGGCUAAUACCGCAUACGUCCUACGGGAGAAAGUGGGGGAUCUUCGGACCUCACGCUAACAGAUGAGCCUAGGUCGGAUUAGCUAGUAGGUGAGGUAAUGGCUCACCUAGGCGACGAUCCGUAACUGGUCUGAGAGGAUGAUCAGUCACACUGGAACUGAGACACGGUCCAGACUCCUACGGGAGGCAGCAGUGGGGAAUAUUGCACAAUGGGCGCAAGCCUGAUGCAGCCAUGCCGCGUGUAUGAAGAAGGCCUUCGGGUUGUAAAGUACUUUCAGCGGGGAGGAAGGUGUUGAGGUUAAUAACCUCAGCAAUUGACGUUACCCGCAGAAGAAGCACCGGCUAACUCCGUGCCAGCCGCCGCGGUAACAC